UACGUAGGGUGCGAGCGUUGUCCGGAUUUAUUGGGCGUAAAGAGCUCGUAGGCGGUUUGUCGCGUCGGCCGAUGAAAUCUCCACCGCUUAACGUGGAGCGUGCGGUCAAUACGGGCAGACUUGGAGUUCGGUAGGGGAGACUGGAAUUCCUGGUGUAGGCGGUGAAAUGCGCAGAUAUCAGGAGGAACACCGGUGGCGAAGGCGGGUCUCUGGGCCGAUACUGACGCUGAGGAGCGAAAGCGUGGGGAGCGAACAGG
rnacentral:rRNA from 1 species